AUUUCUCUACUAAGAUUACAUGUAAAAACAGUUGAAUAUGGCAAAUUUUGCUAAAGGGAAGACAAGAAGAGACGAAAAGCAUGCUGUCACUUUCUUCUUUCCAUCUAGGAGGAUCUAACCAUCACUGCAGUCGAAGCCCUGCAAACCCGAAUGCUUAGUGUCUUAGUUUCGGUUUCCCCAGAAGCUGAACCAGACAUAAGGACAUGAGGGCAAGCAGUUUAUUUGGGAGGUGCAGGAAACACUAGUUGAGGGUGGUAGGGGAGAGGCCCAGGGAAGUGAAGUCAUCCGUUAAAGAGUGCUUUAUUAAGCUAGCUAUCACUGUGUGUGGCUGGAGCUUAAUCCUGCAGGAGACCUCUGGAAUAUCGUAGAAAACACACACCUCAGAAUGACCCCAUCUGAGAGAGACAAGAUCUCACUAUCUUUCCCGAACUUAGUCUCCAACUCCUGGCCUCCAGUGAUCUCCCUGUCUCAGCCUCCCAAAGUGCUUGGAUUAAAGCUGCAUUGAUGAGGAAACUGAAACAGAAAAUCCAGAGUAAAUUCCACCAGGCCACACAGUGAGGCCUGAUAGAGCCAGGAGAGACUUUAUGAAAUCCAGACUCUCAGACUAAUGUUCUAUCAGCUAGACCUCCAUGUGAGUCUCCCAAUGUAGGUAGGAAGAGUUCUCCCUAAAAUGCUCAUAAAGCAAAUCAGAGCAAUGCUUCAUUCCAUGUGAUUUCUAAUUUGAAAUGCAAAUAAUUACCAAUUUGUUUGACUUGUAUUUAUAAUUAUUUCCUUGUGAAUUACUCAUCACUAAAUGCUUUAUAAAUAUUUUCUCUUUUUUUUCUCAAUGUCUAUGGAAUGAUCACGGCAUAGAAAAUGUUGGCUUUCAAGGAUUUAUUAAUAUCUCUUUUUGAAAUAACAUGUAUUUGUAAGAUAGAAUAAAAUCACUUUAAAGAAACA
rnacentral:lncRNA from 13 species